rnacentral:tRNA from 1 species
GGUGGGGUUCGGGAGUGGUUUAACCGGCCUGUCUUGAAAACAGGUGUACCGUAAGGUACCGUGAGUUCGAAUCUCACCCCCACCGCCA